CGAGGACACGACACUCUUCAGUGCACAGCUUCAUCGCUACAGUGAUUAGAAAGGAAACAAAAGCAUUAGUGGAAGAGGUCUGGUAUCUACAGCUUCAUCUAAAGGAGUCCUCCUCAGAAUCUCAUCUCUUGCUUACUUGGAUGCAGUCUGUGGUGUCCAUCAGGAGUGAAGAGCUCACUGAAGCCUUCUCCAAGAAGAGGAGACUCCCUCCCCAUCUCACAAUCACUGUCUCCUGCCUCACUAUCCCCUCGUCCACUGUCCUUCAGGCUGAACUUAUCCAUCUCAUUCAAAGCGUACCUAGGGACAAUGAACAAACAAAAUUGGCUAUUACAAUAGCUUUGACUUAGCUGCUGUAUAUCCACUAUCACACUUUUUUUUUUUUACUUUUUAAUUUAUUGGUGCUGUGAAAAAAAAAAUGGGCCUCUUAAGGAGGCAGCAGUUAAUGCAUAAACAAAAAAGGGGUUAUUCAAAGGGCAGUUGACUUGCUAACAUGAUGCAGCUUUCAUUUAUGGUCAGCAUCUAUUACUAAAGUACUCCAGGGUGUCCAGACUCUCACGGACUAGAACUUUGAACCCUCUGUAGGACGGUCUGUUAAAGGCGGCAACAGGCUGAAGUGAUUGGUUACCUGUAGCUCCGGGUGUAUUUGUUGCCACGGAAACUGGGUCUGGGUUGGUACUGGCCCUGAUGAAGUAUGGACAGAAGCUGUGAGACU